rnacentral:rRNA from 1 species
AUGGGAGCAACAUUGUUGAAGGGCCAAGGCUUCAUAGUUUGUACGCACAUCAAAGAGAAACUUGGAAUGUUUUUGUGCUCGGAUCUCGUUCGGAAGUACUACAUCAUGCAAUUCCCAAGUAAGUAUUUUCCUAUGAAAGUUUCUAUACUAUAUAAGAAAGUUGGUCUGAAAUAUUUGAGGCAUUGGCCUCUUCAGUGGCGUCACCCGACGAGCUCCACGCGCAGAGGAGGCGUCUCCACAGGUUCCCCGAGGAACAACAAGAUACAUUUGAAUUCGUUGCCGAUGAGUUAUCAAUUCUUCGAAAGAGACUACGAUCCAUGGUGGUUGUUGAGGUACCUUGAUCAACUUGGAAUGGCAUCGAAGUACAACACAAAAGUGUUCUGCAUGCAGACUCUCAUCGGAGGCAACUACGGUUUGCUUGACACGAAGACAUUCUUACCAAUCCUGAUUACUCAGUGCUCUGCUAUGGCAUCGGCUUAUGGGAAAUGGAGUUCUCUCAGUUGA